UACAGGGGGGGCAAGCGUUGUUCGGAAUUACUGGGCGUAAAGGGCUCGUAGGUGGCCAACUAAGUCAGACGUGAAAUCCCUCAGCUUAACUGGGGAACUGCGUCUGAUACUGGAUGGCUUGAGUUUGGGAGAGGGAUGCGGAAUUCCAGGUGUAGCGGUGAAAUGCGUAGAUAUCUGGAGGAACACCGGUGGCGAAGGCGGCAUCCUGGACCAACACUGACACUGAGCAGCGAAAGCCAGGGGAGCAAACGGG
rnacentral:rRNA from 1 species